GAUGAACGCUGGCGGCGUGCCUAAUACAUGCAAGUCGAGCGAACGGACGAGGAGCUUGCUUCUCUGAUGUUAGCGGCGGACGGGUGAGUAACACGUGGAUAACCUACCUAUAAGACUGGGAUAACUUCGGGAAACCGGAGCUAAUACCGGAUAAUAUUUUGAACCGCAUGGUUCAAUAGUGAAAGACGGUCUUGCUGCCACUUAUAGAUGGAUCCGCGCUGCAUUGGCUAGUUGGUAAGGUAACGGCUUACCAAGGCAACGAUGCAUAGCCGACCUGAGAGGGUGAUCGGCCACACUGGAACUGGGACACGGUCCAGACUCCUACGGGAGGCAGCAGUAGGGAAUCUUCCGCAAUGGGCGAAAGCCUGACGGAGCAACGCCGCGUGAGUGAUGAAGGUCUUCGGAUCGUAAAACUCUGUUAUUAGGGAAGAACAUAUGUGUAAGUAACUGUGCACAUCUUGACGGUACCUAAUCAGAAAGCCACGGCUAACUACGUG
rnacentral:rRNA from 1 species